UUCAACGUAUGGAACCUACAGGGAAGUAGUUACUUUUGAUCUCAUCCCCUGGGUAACGUGUGUUGUGAGCUUCAGAGCCUGGUGACCACGUCAUUGUCCACUCCAUGCCCCGCACGUUCAUGGUAGUUCUUGUCUUUAUAUAAAUGAUGCAUUAUGACUGCAAACUGGGACAUUUUCAUCAGUUGCCCAAGGAGUCAGUACUUGCUGCACUGAGUGGAGAAGAUUGUGUGGCCCCACUUGGUGCAGGGCAGGUGCAUGGGGCCUUCACUGCGGCUAAGACCUCUCAUCCUCCACGGACGCACAGGCACAUGAGCCCCGUGCAUUGCACGGACAAUGCCAAGGACGAUGCAUUGAUUCACUUGGGAGACAACCCACCUGGAAGAACUUCAGAUCCAUUCCAACUCCAGUGCUCUAAGUGCUAGUCUCAGCACUACUGUUAUCGAAGGUGUGAUUGUUAGUGAAGGAAAGAUGGAUGUUUUUCCCAACAUCGACAAAAAGACAAUUUUCCCAUAAGAAUAUCUCUCGUGACUGGGAAUGUUUAAGGGAGUGGUGUCUCAGCCUCUCUGGCUCAUCAACAAUAAUUUAUUAUGAGUCCUAUUAUUUAUAAGCCCUCCCCAGGCUUAUGAAGGGUUUCAGCUUAUAUGUCAUUUUCUUUCCUUCACCCCUAUGGGAUGGGAAGCGUCCCUGUGUCCCUGCAUAGAAAGGAGCCAGGCUGGGUUCAUGUAAAUAUUUCAACUUUGUGUUCAGAAAAGAAAUGAUUACAGGCCAAAGUUCUAUUCUAACUCACUUAAAACAAGAGAGAAAUUAAUUUUAACAGAAUCUAUUGAUGAAGAAGGAUGAAUAUAUGAUUCAUUCCCUUUCUUGAUUUAAUAUGGAUUUUUAUUCCAUGUAGUAUUACUUACUGAGUGCAAAGACUAAAUUCAUCUUUUACUUUUCAAUCAGUUAUCAUCUUAUCAUCGAAUAGAACACAAUUAAUUGGGCACUUAGUUUAUUCAAUCAUUGUAGUUGCCAAAAAAAACAAUAAACUAUUCAAUUUUU